UCACACAUGCCAAAACAAAGGGAUCAAAAAGGGUGAUGCUUCAUAGAGAGCUAGCAGAACUUUUGGAUGAGGAGUUGCGUAGAAGGGGAACUUCAGUUAUUCCACCUGGUGAAGUAUUUGGAAAGUGGAAAGGUUUAAAAGAUGAGGAAAAAGACCAUGAAAUAGUUUGGCCUCCUAUGGUUAUCAUUAUGAAUACAAGGCUUGAACUGGAUGAGAAUGACAAGUGGAAGGGAAUGGGCAAUCAAGAGCUUAUUGAUUAUUUCAAUGGGUAUGCUGCUGUAAAGGCUAGGCACUCAUAUGGUCCACAGGGACAUCGUGGGAUGAGCAUUCUGAUUUUUGAGAGCUCUGCAAGAGGUUAUUUGGAAGCUGAACGUCUGCACAAACAUUUUGCUGAACAGGGAACUGAUAGAAAUGCUUGGGAUCAUGGUCCAGUCUUGUUCCAUAGAGUUGGCGCUUACCACCAGAAUGGAACAAGACUGGACCAUGAUCCCAAGCAUUUCUAUCAGUUCCCUGU
rnacentral:misc_RNA from 1 species